CCUACGGGAGGCAGCAGUGAGGAAUAUUGGUCAAUGGACGAGAGUCUGAACCAGCCAAGUAGCGUGAAGGAUGACUGCCCUAUGGGUUGUAAACUUCUUUUAUAUGGGAAUAAAACGUUCCACGUGUGGGAUUUUGUAUGUACCAUAUGACUAAGGAUCGGCUAACUCCGUGCCAGCAGCCGCGGUAAUACGGAGGAUCCGAGCGUUAUCCGGAUUUAUUGGGUUUAAAGGGAGCGUAGGUGGAUUGUUAAGUCAGUUGUGAAAGUUUGCGGCUCAACCGUAAAAUUGCAGUUGAAACUGGCAGUCUUGAGUACAGUAGAGGUGGGCGGAAUUCGUGGUGUAGCGGUGAAAUGCUUAGAUAUCACGAAGAACUCCGAUUGCGAAGGCAGUUCACUGGACUGCAACUGACACUGAGGCUCGAAAGUGUGGGUAUCAAACAGUAUUAGAUACCCCUGUAGUC
rnacentral:rRNA from 1 species